UACGUAGGGUGCGAGCGUUAAUCGGAAUACUGGGCGUAAAGCGUGCGCAGGCGGCGCGUUAAGACAGGUGUGAAAGCCCCGAGCUUAACUUGGGAAUUGCGCUUGUGACUGGCGUGCUGGAGUGUGGCAGAGGGAGGUGGAAUUCCACGUGUAGCAGUGAAAUGCGUAGAUAUGUGGAGGAACACCGAUGGCGAAGGCAGCCCCCUGGGUCGACACUGACGCUCGAUGCCACA
rnacentral:rRNA from 1 species